UACGUAGGGUGCAAGCGUUGUCCGGAAUUAUUGGGCGUAAAGAGCUCGUAGGCGGUGUGUCGCGUCGGCCGUGAAAACCUGCAGCUUAACUGUGGGCUUGCGGUCGAUACGGGCAUCACUGGAGUUCGGCAGGGGAGACUGGAAUUCCUGGUGUAGCGGUGAAAUGCGCAGAUAUCAGGAGGAACACCGGUGGCGAAGGCGGGUCUCGUGGGCCGAUGACUGACGCUGAGGCACGAAAGCGUGGGGAGCAAACAGG
rnacentral:rRNA from 1 species